rnacentral:rRNA from 1 species
CCUACGGGAGGCAGCAGUGAGGAAUAUUGGUCAAUGGGCGCAAGCCUGAACCAGCCAUGCCGCGUGCAGGAUGACGGUCCUAUGGAUUGUAAACUGCUUUUGUACAGGAAGAAACACUCCCUCGUGAGGGAGCUUGACGGUACUGUAAGAAUAAGGAUCGGCUAACUCCGUGCCAGCAGCCGCGGUAAUACGGAGGAUCCAAGCGUUAUCCGGAAUCAUUGGGUUUAAAGGGUCCGUAGGCGGUUUUAUAAGUCAGUGGUGAAAUCUGGUCGCUCAACGAUCAAACGGCCAUUGAUACUGUAAGACUUGAAUUACUUGGAAGUAACUAGAAUAUGUAGUGUAGCGGUGAAAUGCUUAGAGAUUACAUGGAAUACCAAUUGCGAAGGCAGGUUACUACAAGUAUAUUGACGCUGAUGGACGAAAGCGUGGGGAGCGAACAGGAUUAGAUACCCUGGUAGUCCACGACGUAACGAUAGAUACUAGCUGUUGUAGCAUNUGAGUGGCGUAAGACGAAGUAGAGUAAGUA